CAGCAGCCGCCGCGGGAAUACGGAGGGUGCAAGCGUUAAUCGGAAUUACUGGGCGUAAAGCGCACGCAGGCGGUCUGACAAGUCAGAUGUGAAAUCCCCGGGCUUAACCUGGGAACUGCAUUUGAAACUGUCAGGCUGGAGUCUUGUAGAGGGGGGUGGAAUUCCAGGUGUAGCGGUGAAAUGCGUAGAGAUCUGGAGGAAUACCGGUGGCGAAGGCGGCCCCCUGGACAAAGACUGACGCUCAGGUGCGAAAGCGUGGGGAGCAAACAGGAUUAGAUACCCCAGUAGUCCCUGUCUCUUAUAA
rnacentral:rRNA from 1 species